CCGGGAACUUCCGGUCCUUGCUGCACCCUUGUCUUUUGCGUACCGUAUGUUUCCUCGGCGGGCUUGCCUGCCGGUUGGACAUUAUCAAACCUUUUUGUAGUUGCAAUCAGCGUCAGAAAACAAACAAUAAUUACAACUUUCAACAACGGAUCUCUUGGUUCUGGCAUCGAUGAAGAACGCAGCGAAAUGCGAAAAGUAGUGUGAAUUGCAGAAUUCAGUGAAUCAUCGAAUCUUUGAACGCACAUUGCGCCCCUUGGUAUUCCAUGGGGCAUGCCUGUUCGAGCGUCAUUUUGUACCCUCAAGCACUGCUUGGUGUUGGGCGUUUGUCCUGCAAAGGACUCGCCUGAAAGCGAUUGGCGGCCAACGUACUGGUGGUAGAGCGCAGCACAAUUUGCGUCUCUCCCCUCUGCGUCGGCGUCCAUGAAGCCUUUUUUCAACGUUUGACCUCGGAUCAGGUAGGGAUACCCGCUGAACUUAAGCAUAUCA
rnacentral:rRNA from 1 species